UUCCUCCCCACACCCCCAAAGGAAACAUUAUUAGAACCAUCACUACAUCCACAUUACAACUGCUCGCGGUUGGCUUGUGAAGGUGUAGGCAUGUCAUCCCCCCCUCCCUUUAAUUCUCUCUGUGUUGGGUGUGCGUCCCCUCAAAUUCUCCUUUCAAACACACGGGCAGUAGAGCACUGCCUCUAACUUAGACAUAUUUUCUGCUAAGGAAGAACAAAAGGUUUUUUCUCAGAGUUUGUAUUCUGCAGUGGUCCUAGGUGGGUGAGCUCGACCUGGCAAUCUCCAGACCCUGGUCCGCAGCCGCCCAGGGGAGAAGGAAGGCAGGGAAUGGGCGAGUCCGGGGACAGAAGGAUGCCGUCCCCCGGUCUGUGUCCCCCGAAAGCGGUAGCAGGGUGAGUAGCAGUGCCUGGAAAGGAUUUCCGAUGACGAUUUGCACACAAGGUGAUUGCAGGAGGCUAGAAUGCUGUCUAAUUCCACGGAUUCCCAUCGUACGAGGAGGAGGGAAAAAAAAAAAAAAAAAAAAGGAAAGAAAAAGAAAAAUAAAG